GUGUCAGCAGCCGCGGUAAGACGAACCGAGCGAACGUUGUUCGGAAUCACUGGGCUUAAAGGGCGCGUAGGCGGGCGAUCAAGUCGGUGGUGAAAUCCUACAGCUUAACUGUAGAACUGCCUCCGAUACUGGUUGUCUCGAGGAAGGUAGGGGCGUGCGGAACAGUUGGUGGAGCGGUGAAAUGCGUUGAUAUCAACUGGAACUCCGGUGGCGAAGGCGGCACGCUGGACCUUUUCUGACGCUGAGGCGCGAAAGCCAGGGGAGCAAACGGGAUUAGAAACCCGUGUAGUCC
rnacentral:rRNA from 1 species